CGCCCGCCUUGGGCGUCGUGCCCAUCCGGCGUCGGAACGUUGGCGGCCCCUGCCGUGGUGGGGGAGGCACCCGGUUCGAGUCCGGUGGGGGAGGC
rnacentral:tRNA from 1 species